AUGGACCCGGACGUCGCGCUCCACCUUCAGAUCGCCGCGGUGGUCGUGAUGGCGGUGCUCAUCGUCGCUCUAGCCGUCGCGGCCUCCGGCGGAGCCUGCGACGACGCGGCCGGGGGCGCCGCGGUGCACGCCGCCGACGUCGAGGCCGCCCUCGGCAACGACACGCUCAUGACGUACGAGCAGGCGGCCGCCAGGAAGAAGAAGGAGAAGGGGGAGGAAGAGGAGGAGCGGUGCGCCAUCUGCCUGUCAGAGUACGGCGAGGGCGAGGCCGGCGAGCUGGUGCGGGUGGUGCCGGCCUGCGGGCACUUCUACCACGCGAGCUGCGACGUCGACAAGUGGCUCCGGAAGCGCCGGACGUGCCCGCUCUGCCGCGGAGGGCUCUGGCCCCCGCCGCCGCCGCUGCCGGGGCUGCCACGGCCGGAGUGCCCGCCGAUGCCGCCGUCCCAUUAG
rnacentral:rRNA from 1 species